rnacentral:lncRNA from 13 species
AGUCCUUUUAAACCCCUUACACCACUAUAGCAUGAGCCCAUUCUGACAAGUCAACUUCUGGGUGAAUCCUAAAUAGAAUUUUCACUUAGUCUCCCAUUGAUAUCAAUGCAUGAAAAUCCACUCAAGUGAACGUUAGGAUUCCCCCGUUAGACAGUAGAGAGGAACGAGGACAGAAGAGAAUAGUAAUAAACAUUCACUAUCAAAUAACACAAGUGAUACAGCAUCCAUAAAACCACCUGAAGAAGGAAUGGAUGAGCUCUUUAUAAUGGCGCAUGGUGAAUAUUCUUCUGUGCACUGAUGAUAUCUACAUAGUCUUUGGUUUCCUUGUCACAGCUCCAACAGGGCCAAUUCAAUUAUUUUGUGAGGGGGGGGGGGGGGGAAUUAAAUUGUGACAGUGGCUUAAACCAAAAACCUCCUCUCUUCUCCUGACAUCCUUUGUCUUCAAAUCCAUUAGCCUGGUUCCUCUCUAGGUUUCUUCCUAGGUCUCCUUUCUAGGGAGUUUUUCCUAGCCACCGUGCUUCUACACCUGCAUUGCUUGCUGUUUGGGGUUUUAGGCUGGGUUUCUGUACAGCACUUUGAGAUAUCAGCUGAUGUACGAAGGGCUAUAUAAAUACAUUUGAUUUGAUUAGCCACUUCGACAUGAAACAUUCAAGAAAAAAAUAAAAAACCCCAGGUUCAUGAUGACAUGGUAGCUUCCGUCCCGCUGGUUCAGUGAGUUCCUCCCAUUUGGUUCGGUCUAAGAUCAGAGACCGUGGGGGUGUUAGGGGGAGAUGAGGUCUAUCUUUUCUAUGUGCUGUUAUCUCCUUCUGUUUCCCUUUAGAAUGUCUGUUGGUGGGGACAUCUGAGAGUGGUCAACUAGUGACUGGAACGUCUGACAAACGUUGCAGAAACGUCUGACAAACGAUCAAAAAGAGGAAGGAAAUAGGCUGUUGAUGAUAGUGUGAGUUAGUCCAUAUACACACACACACACUGCUAGGUCUUGACCAGCGGCUGCUCUGAUG